CCCUUAGAUGUCCGGGGCCGCACGCGCGCUACACUGAAGGAAUCAGCGUGGCGUUCUCCCUGACCCGAAAGGGUUGGGAAACCCGUUGAAUCUCCUUCGUGAUAGGGAUUGGGGCUUGAAAUUGUUCCCCAUGAACGAGGAAUUCCCAGUAAGCGCGAGUCAUAAGCUCGCGUUGAUUACGUCCCUGCCCUUUGUACACACCGCCCGUCGCUACUACCGAUUGAACGGUUUAGUGAGGGCCUCGGAUUGGUCUCGGCCCGCUCUUUACCGGGCGGCGCCGUUGGUCGAGAAGACGCUCGAACUUGAUCGUUUAGAGGAAGUAAAAGUCGUAACA
rnacentral:rRNA from 1 species